UUUAAAUUAAGGUAUGCACUUUGAUUUCUAGACAAUGCUCUGCAUACUUAAUAGACCACAAUAUAGUGUAAACAUAACAUAUAUAUAUAUAUAUGUUAUGUUUACACUAUAUUUUAUAUAUAUACACACACAUAUAUAUACUGGGAAACCAAAAGUUUGUUUGAAUCCCUUUAUUGCUAUGUUUGCUUUAUUGCAGUGGUCUGGAACUGAACCUGCAAUAUAUCUGAGAUAUCCCUGUAUCAGCUCCAGUGUAAAACACUAUAUAUGUUAAGGAAAUUGGAAAGACAAUCUGUGGAAGACCUUGAGCUGCUCCAAAGAGAUGGGAUACAUGUAUAGUGCUGUUUUUAAUCAUCAUUCUACUGCUAUUUGUUUUUACUGCAUGAUUCCAUUUGACUUAUAAACUCAGCAUUCCAGCAGUAAAAACGAAUGUACUUUUUCCUUGGUAAAGCAUUUUAUGUCUUUUAUGGAAGGUAAGAUUGCCUGUGAGCAUUUUAGAAGGUGCAUAUAUAUGUAAUCAGAAAACUUCUGUUUU
rnacentral:lncRNA from 1 species